UUUCCGUAGGUGAACCUGCGGAAGGAUCAUUAAUGUAUAACCGAGUCUCGAGGGCUGUCGCUGAACCGAAAGGUCGCGCACGCCCGAGUGCCCUCACACACAUCCAUCCCCCCCCUAUGUGCACCACCGCGUGGGUCCCCCAUUGGCUUGUUCGGAGGGGGGCUUACGUUUUCACACCAACUUUGUAUGCAGUGUAGAAUGUAUUUUUUGUUUUUGCGAUCUCGCAAUCAAUACAACUUUCAACAACGGAUCUCUUGGCUCUC
rnacentral:misc_RNA from 1 species